CCUACGGGAGGCAGCAGUGGGGAAUAUUGCACAAUGGGGGGAACCCUGAUGCAGCGACGCCGCGUGAGUGAAGAAGUAUUUCGGUAUGUAAAGCUCUAUCAGCAGGGAAGAAAAUGACGGUACCUGACUAAGAAGCCCCGGCUAACUACGUGCCAGCAGCCGCGGUAAGACGUAGGGGGCAAGCGUUAUCCGGAUUUACUGGGUGUAAAGGGAGCGCAGACGGCUGUGCAAGUCUGGAGUGAAAGGCGGGGGCCCAACCCCCGGACUGCUCUGGAAACUGUAAAGCUGGAGUGCAGGUGAGGUAAGCGGAAUUCGUGGUGUAGCGGUGAAAUGCGUAGAUAUUAGGAGGAACACCAGUGGCGAAGGCGGCUUACUAGACUGCAACUGACGUUGAGGCUCGAAAGCGUGGGGAGCAAACAGGAUUAGAUACCCGAGUAGUC
rnacentral:rRNA from 1 species